UAAAAUCAAAAUCAGCAUGGUACUUUUAAGUUCCACCAGUGUUGCCAUGUAUACAGCCAAUUCUUUUGUUCUAACAGCUUCCUUUCUAACCCUAGAAAGGCACUACCAGUGCCAGCCACUCUGAUAAUUCAACUCAGAUGAGGUUGACAUCAGAGUUGAGUGAUGGUCCCAGAGGAGCCGCUAUGUGGUUUAUGCAGAACCCUGAUCUUUUGCCAGGAAGUGUGGAAAUUUUAAAACUUAUCGGUCAGUUCCUGAAGGUGUUGGCAGUCUGACCUGGGAAGCAUUUCACCAGACAGAAAAUGAGAAAUGAAAACCUCAAAUUAGUAAUGCUCCCUACUAUCAAGUGGCAAUGAGACCAUGUUCUUCCAGACUUACUCCAGGAGUCAAACUCCCUGCAAAGCUGCUUUUGAGAAAUAAAAGUUCAGGUAGGUCAACUCAGGUGUAGGAUUUAACCACUUCUUUCCCACCACACAGGUCUCAUUAUCAAAUGAGGUGUUACUUUUAACGUACCACUACUGUCCUUUAUGGGUUGCUUAU
rnacentral:lncRNA from 1 species